UACAAAUAAAGGUCUAAAAAAAAAAUACAACACUGUCUCUGGAAAUACAUUAAAGAAACAUGAAUAGCAGAUAGAAAGAGACGCCAAGGCCUGCGGACGCCUGCAGGACAACCUCGAGUCGCUUGAUGAACAAAAAUAACAAUCUCACUGCGGUCCGAAGUCUACAGCACUGGGAUCUGCACAAAAGAGUGCAAAGUGUAGUAUCAGCACAACCGACCCCAUGUGCUGGUAAGUGCCUAGCCUAACCUCGGCGAAGUAGUGAUGAGGCUAGGACCAGACUACCAAAUAAACGUGUGCAGUUAAAUCAUAUACAGCAGAAAUAGAAGCAGAUAAUUACGACUAAAGUUGGGCGGGGGAAACAUGUUGCGGGGAGUAACAGGUAACAACAAUAGAUAAUUAUAAGGAAUGCUAUAAAUCAAUUACCAGCAAAGAUAAGGAAAUAAGAAGAACAAGUACACAUGUAAUACCGUUGCAUGCGUGCAACCCGAUCCCAUCUCAUAUAGUACCGUUACAGGCGUGCAACCCGCUCCCAUUUUAUAUUGUACCGUUGCAGGCGUGCAACCCGCUCCCAUUUCAUAUAUUACCGUUGCAGGCAUGCAAUCCCAUUUCAUAUAUUUACCGUUGCAGGCGUGCAACCCGUUCCCAUUUCAUAUAUUUACCGUUGCAGGCAUGCAACCCGCUCCCAUUUCAUAUAUUUACCAUUGCAGGCAUGCAACCCGCUCCCAUUUCAUAUAUUUACCGUUGCAGGCGUGUAACCCGCUCCCAUUUCAUAUAUUUCCGUUGCAGGCAUGCAACCCACUCCCAUUUCAUAUGUUACUGUUUCAGGCGUGCAACUCGUUCCCUUUUCAUUUAUCAAUACCAAUCAUAACAGAAUCCCGGCAAGGGAACAAUGAUAUAACAACAAUAUCCCGGCAAGGGAAUAAUACUAUAACAAUAACAUCCCGGUAAGGGAACAAUAAUAUUCUCGGCAAGGGAACAACAAUAUGACAACAACGUCUCGGCAAGGGAACAAUAAUGAUAAUCCUCAUAUGAAGCACAAUAAACCUCAACGGAAUCACAACAAUUACAGUACAAGACUCACGGGCAUGCUUGACACCGACGUAUAGAUACUCGUCACCAUGCCUAUACGUCGUACUCCACAAUUAGCACAUAGCAAAUAAGACACAACUCCUAAUCCCUCAAGCUAAGGUUAGACCAAACACUUACCUCGAUGCCACGAACACAAUUCAAGCCUCAACUAUCGCUUUACCUCUUGAUUCCACCACCAACUCUCUUGUAUCUAGCCACAAGUUACUUAAUAAUAUUAAUAAGUGCUAAAUGAAUCAUUUCUAAUGCAUGGAAAUAAGUUUUCUAAAGUUUUUUCCAAAAAGUCGAAAAUCGCCUCCGGGACCACAUGGUCAAAACCCGAGGUUCGAACCAAAACCCGAUUACCCAUUCCCCCACGAACCCAAAUAUAUAAUUUGUUUUGAAAUUGACCUCAAAUCGAGGUCCAAAUCCCCAAAAUUUGAAAAACCUAGGUUCUACCCAAAACACCCAAUUUUCCCCAUGAAAACCAUUGAUUCUAGGAUGAAAUCUUGUAAAAAGAAGUUAAGGGGUAAAGAAAAUGAGUUAGAAAUCACUUACUAAUGUUUUGG
rnacentral:lncRNA from 1 species